UGAUUGGCAACUGUAUCGCUCAAUCAGAUUCCCAGCUCGCGCAUACCGCCAUCCUCAUCUUUGAUGUCUGUAUGAUUGGAGUUUCUUUCGAUAUCGCUGUUGCCAAACGGAUCGUACACUGGAGCAACCAUGGUAAAGAUAUUCAUCGGUAACCUCUCUCCAGAAACGACGAGAGAGGACAUUGAAGAGCUAUUUGUUAAGUACGGCAUAGUAACGGAAUGCGCGAAGUACAAAAACUAUGCGUUCGUCCACAUGGACGACCGCAAGUCAGCCACCAAAGCUAUCCGUGAGCUCCAUCUGCACAAGCUGAACGGGAGGCCCAUCAAUGUGGAGCCCAGCAGAGGGAAGAACCAGGGUCCCGUCAAACUCCACAUUGCCAACGUUGAAAAAGGCUUUGAUAAGGAAUUGCGGGACCUGUUUGAGGAGUACGGCACAGUCACGGAGUGCUCCAUUGUCAAGAACUUUGCAUUUGUUCACAUGCCUCAUUAUGAUGAGGCCAUGGAUGCCCUGGAGGGCCUGGAUAACUUGGAGUUUCAGGGAAAGCGUAUUCAUGUUCAGGUAUCAAAAAGCAGACCCAGAGGGGGUCCUGAGGAGGAGGAGGAGGAAUAUCCACCCCCACCAGUUAGAGGAGGCUACUAUCCUCCAUUUUACCCAAUGCCAAGGCCUGAGCCCCCCUACAGAGGGCGCCCUUCUGCUUAUCCCCCUCCACCACCUCCCCCUCCGCCCCUACCGCCACCUCCUCCCAUGAGACGAGCUGCAUACCCUGACCGUGGAUACGGUGACAGAGCGCCCUACGGGUCGGUGGAUUACUAUGAGAAGUACAGGGCCCAUCCUUUUACCGCGGCGGCAAGCUACGACGAUAGGCGUGCCAUACCACCUCCUCCGCCUCCUUCAUCGGCUUUGGUUAGAGAGCGCCUCGGGGUGGCGCCGUCAGUCGACCCAUAUGAGCGCCGCGCCCUCCCGACCCCUGCUCCUUACGCAGCAAGGGACCGGAGCCCGAUCAGGAGAAUCCCCCCUCCACCUGUCCCGGCGGCUGGGAAUGGGUAUUCCUACGAGCGCUCUCGACUCUCGCCGAUGUCCAGGGCUCCAUUGUACGCGCCUCCCCGUACCAGGGACCCCUAUGCUGGGAGAGUGCCUCCCCCACCGCCGUCUCGCUACGCAGGCUAUUAGAGGGCCAUAGAGUUACGCAAGGUUUUUAGAAUAUGACAAGAUCGUCGUCUGCUGACGCACGUGGCGCUAUACACCCAGCACGUCGUUGCGUUCGCCUGAGGCUUACAGGAAGAUAUUGCGGACGGCCUCGUAUUUAAAAACAUACAACUCCAUCUCUGCGUUUCUUUUUCCUGAGCUGUUCUUGAACUUUUGUGUUCCUCAAAUUGUUUUCUUCGAUAUUCUGAAAGUGUUCAGUAGAACAGCUUUUGAGAGUGUAUGGCGUGUGACGCAUUAAUCUAUAGUUGAUGACCGAAAACCAUUCUCUGUUCCAAUCUUUUUUAUUAGUCUCUGGGGAAACUUGGUAUAUUUUCAUAACAAGGGAUUGCCUUUACAUUACAGUCUGUGGUGUUUACCAGCAAAACUAGUUUUACUCUUAGCUUAUUGGUUGAUUUAGAAAAUGUUCAGUAAUUUAAAAUCAGUUAAGGAGUGCUUAAAUAUAAUACAGAGUGUGGACGGUUGUUCAAAAAUCGUAAAAAGUUGCGACACUUGUUGAAACAACCUCAAAAAAUUCAGUGUGAUUUACUUUUUUUCUUUUUACACUUUGUUAAAUUUUCUUGCGGAAAUAUAAUCCGUAGGCACGUUCUGUGUGAACUGUAUUUACUUUUCAGGUUGCUUUUCAGGCUUUUAAUAAACAAAUGGAAACAAAGUCAGUAUUUAACUGUGAAAUUAUUCCUGGUUGUGGUUGGUAGGCAGCUGAAACUAGGCGUGGCACUGCUUUCACUUUUAUUCUUUACACUCAGCUUGCUACUUGACAUUUUUUUUCCCCAGUGCUCCGCAUUUUGUAAGCGUCUAUUAAAACUUAGAAAAAGAUUUGAAAUUGUCCGGUUUUGCUGAACUAAUUAGUGCAACGUUUAAUAUGUGGAUGGAGAAGUUUCUCAGCCAUUUGCUUGGAUUCAAAAGCGAAAAAUCAAGUCUGGUUUAUCUCGGUCGAACCUCUCUUACCGCACCGGUUGCAGCAUCCAACUCUUCCCACUUUACCUGCUAGGCAUUGAAUCAUUUUAGGGGUGGCCUUCUAAUCUACUAUUAUGACUAAUUGCUGAAUCAACCGAGUUCUCUUUCCCCAUUUCAUUAAAUGCCUCCUUCCCAGCAGUACCCCUCUCCAUUAUUGUCUUUGAGCAUGAACAUCUCAUAACUACAUAAUCAGAUAGCUUGCAUCUUUGGUAUUCUUGGUGUCUGUGCUCUUUGUAGGUGCUUAAACCAUCUGCAGGAGAAGCUAGCCCCGGGUAAGUCAUCCCUGAUGCCAAGCAGGAAGACUCAGGUAAAUGUCUCAAAACCGUUUCCUGUAAAGAUUAUAUACUGCAGGUCAAAUGUUUGAAAGCAAAGUCACAUAGAGUUUCAAGACACUUGUUUUACUACACUGUCAUCCACCAGGUUAUGUCUGCAUGUAUGCAGUUAACAAUAGUCGCUGUUGCCAACAGUAACUUCAGUCAAAAAAACGUGUAUGAUCAAAAUUGGAAUGUCAGGGUUUUUAAAGAUUUGUCAUUAUCCAGAAAACUCCCAUCAGUGUCCUAGAUAAGUUCUGAGAAAGAAGAUGGAUUGUGCUGUCGGGAGUCCAGCUUUGCCUCCAGUGGCUCUUGGUCCUUUUUUCAUUAUUGAUGUAUGAUGAACCAGGUGAUAAAUGGAUUAGGGCCUCUUUGGCAGCAGUUCAAGUCCUUAGCCAAAAAGCCAAGCUGUCUGUGUCUCAACCCUCUGUGGUCAUGAGAUUUUGAUCUUGAUUCGUCGAAUGGCUUCCACUGAAGGAUAGCUGGUCUCUUUUAGAGAGUAUGAGGAGAGGACUCUUGUAAAAACAGCUCUGUAUUUACAAGAUUCAAAUGAUGUGGUGUGGGUACCGAGAGAGGAGACCCGUAGGAAGAAAACACUUUAGGUACUUUUGUUUUUUUUGGAGAACUCCUAGCACAACCUAGAGAGGGAAGUCAGGGUUUCCUUCCUGGACCUUUCAAUCUUUCGAUCCAGUCUCUGCUAAGCAGAAGAUUGUGGAUAAAUAGACAUUUUUUCUGUAAAUAUCAGGCAUUUGUGGCUUUGGCAAUCUUUAACUCCAACUAACUUCGUAUAAUUUAGUUUAGUGUUUUCCUAGAGAACGACACAUAACUCCUGUUUUAAUGUUUUUGCACUGGCUAAGCAUUUGAUUUUAUAAUUUAUUUUAAAAUUUCAGAUUCAUAUAUGGUCAAGUACUUUUCUCUGUCGCUGAAUUGUUAAAGUUCUGCCCACUGGAGCCCUCAGGUUGUCCAAUGUGAAUCUGGAGAGGAGUUGCUCUUUCCUGACGGUUGCACAUCCACUGUAGAAGAGGCUUCACACUGAGAGCUAAUCUUUAAGAAAGGCACUGUGAACAGAAACUCAGUUGCUUUAAUUAUUUGGCUUGUGUUUACUUUCAAAUGUUUGGCCUGUAAUGUAGAUGCAUAUACAAAAAACAAAAAAGCUGCAUGAUUCUCUUCGUAAUUUAAAUUUGGAAGUUGAUUAAACCUUCUGUGCAUUUUUCCCACAGAUUUGUCUGUUUACUGAUUGGAAAAAUGGUUCCAAGAUAACUGACAGUCAAAGAAAAUAUGAGAUUGGUCAGUAUUCUGAGAAACCUAAAACGCCUGACUGAACUGUGUGGAUUCAAAAGGAGAACUGCUCAUCCUGUGGGAGUUUGGUCCAUUUGGAAGGGAAUUUCCCCAAGCUUCCAAAGGAGAAUUACUCAUCCUGUGGGAGUUUGGUCCAUUUGGAAGGGAAUCUCCCCAAGCUUCCAGAAAACCUGCAUCACCCAUUUCCAAAAUGAUGAGUUCAGGGAAAGGCUGUGGAAGACAAGUUUUUUAAUCUCUCGUGACAUCAUACUGUAAAGAAAAAUCAUGUCUCACACUUUGUAUAAAAGAUUCCUACUGUCUGAAUUUUCUUAGCUUUUUGUCUGUUAAUUACUGAAAAUUGUAUUUUAUUUUGUCCCUGUUAAAAAAAAA